GAUGAACGCUGGCGGUAUGCUUAACACAUGCAAGUCGAACGGACUCUUCGGAGUUAGUGGCGGACGGGUGAGUAACGCGUGAGAAUCUGGCUUUGGGUUCGGGACAACCACUGGAAACGGUGGCUAAUACCGGAUGUGCCGAGAGGUAAAAGAGAAAUUGCCUGAAGAUGAGCUCGCGUCUGAUUAGCUAGUUGGUGAGGUAAAGGCUCACCAAGGCAGCGAUCAGUAGCUGGUCUGAGAGGAUGACCAGCCACACUGGGACUGAGACACGGCCCAGACUCCUACGGGAGGCAGCAGUGGGGAAUUUUCCGCAAUGGGCGAAAGCCUGACGGAGCAAUACCGCGUGAGGGAAGAAGGCUCUUGGGUUGUAAACCUCCUUUCUUAGGGAAGAACAAAAUGACGGUACCUAAGGAAUCAGCAUCGGCUAACUCCGUG
rnacentral:rRNA from 1 species